rnacentral:rRNA from 1 species
GACGAACGCUGGCGGCGUGCUUAACACAUGCAAGUCGAACGGAAAGGCCCUGCUUGCCGGGUACUCGAGUGGCGAACGGGUGAGUAACACGUGGGUGAUCUGCCCUGCACUUCGGGAUAAGCUUGGGAAACUGGGUCUAAUACCGGAUAGGAACCAUCUUUAGUGUGGUGGUUGGAAAGUUUUUUCGGUGUAGGAUGAGCUCGCGGCCUAUCAGCUUGUUGGUGGGGUAAUGGCCUACCAAGGCGGCGACGGGUAGCCGGCCUGAGAGGGUGUACGGCCACAUUGGGACUGAGAUACGGCCCAGACUCCGACGGGAGGCAGCAGUGGGGAAUAUUGCACAAUGGGCGCAAGCCUGAUGCAGCGACGCCGCGGGGGGGAUGAAGGCCUUCGGGUUGUAAACUCCUUUCGCUAGGGACGAAGCUUUUUGUGACGGUACCUAGAGAAGAAGCACCGGCUAACUACGUG